rnacentral:rRNA from 1 species
UACAGAGGGGGCAAGCGUUGUUCGGAAUUACUGGGCGUAAAGGGCGCGUAGGUGGCCUUCUAAGUUGAACGUGAAAUCCCUGGGCUCAACCCAGGAACUGCGUCCAAGACUGGGAGGCUUGAAUCCGGGAGAGGGAUGUGGAAUUCCAGGUGUAGCGGUGAAAUGCGUAGAUAUCUGGAGGAACACCGGUGGCGAAGGCGGCAUCCUGGACCGGUAUUGACGCUGAGGCGCGAAAGCGUGGGGAGCAAACAGG